AAUGUAUUCCCAGGUUCUGACAAUGCGAAACCUUCAAUUUUAAGCGUUUUCUAAGCUAAUUUACGUACUGUUGACAAGUUCUAGAGCCAGUAGCUACGUCUCGUUACAUUUUCAAAUUUUAAUGUAUUUAAUGUUGGAAAUUAGCUUAGAAU